rnacentral:rRNA from 1 species
GAUGAACGCUGGCGGCGCGCCUAACACAUGCAAGUCGAACGGUUAAGCCACCUUCGGGUGGGAAUAAAGUGGCGAACGGCUGAGUAACACGUGGGCAACCUGCCCCUCGCACCGGGACAGCCUCGGGAAACCGUGGAUGAUACCGGAUACUCCGCCUCCCCCGCAUGGGGAGGGCGGGAAAGCCCAGACGGCGAGGGAUGGGCCCGCGGCCUGUUAGCUAGUUGGCGGGGCAGCGGCCCACCAAGGCGAUGAUGGGUAGCCGGGUUGAGAGACCGACCGGCCAGAUUGGGACUGAGACACGGCCCAGACUCCUACGGGAGGCAGCAGUGGGGAAUCUUGCACAAUGGGCGGAAGCCUGAUGCAGCGACGCCGCGUGCGGGACGAAGGCCUUCGGGCUGUAAACCGCUUUCAGCAGGGACGAGGCGAAAGUGACGGUACCUGCAGAAGAAGCCCCGGCUAACUACGUG